rnacentral:lncRNA from 1 species
GUGGAUAAAGAUUUGAAACAAACAUAGAAAUAAUAUUUUUUACCUCUCAAAGAGAUACAUCCGUCUAUAUUGAACAAGUCCGCCUAUUCAUGCUUUAUACGGUAGGUGAAUAGGUAAAUAUUCUAUUGAGUCAAAGAAACUAAGUGAAAAUAUACAUUUCAACUUACACAAGAUGAUAGAAAUAUUAUAUUCCAUUUGUACUAAAUCCUUCUCCUACAGCAC